CCUGGACUCCGCCUUAAAAGGUAUUGGCAGCGGGUUCUUGCCGGGCCUUCCCUAAUCGCGCAAGCACCUGUUCGCGCCUUCCUGGGAGUCUGCGCAAAAUUCAGCGUUCCAAUCAAAGCCUUCUUUUUUACACUUGACCUCGGAUCAGGUAGGGAUACCCGCUGAACUUAAGCAAUAUCAAUAAGCGGAGGAAAAGAAACCAAACUGGGAUUGCCCUAGUAACGGCGAGUGAAGCGGCAAUAGCUCAAAUUUGAAAUCUGGCUCCUUUGGGGGCCCGAGUUGUAAUUUGCAGAGGGUGCUUUGGCUUUGGUUGCGGUCCUAAGUUCCUUGGAACAGGACAUCACAGAGGGUGAGAAUCCCGUAUGUGAUCGCUAUCCAUCGCCGUGUAAAGCCCCUUCGACGAGUCGAGUUGUUUGGGAAUGCAGCUCUAAAUGGGAGGUAAAUUUCUUCUAAAGCUAAAUAUUGGCCAGAGACCGAUAGCGCACAAGUAGAGUGAUCGAAAGAUGAAAAGUACUUUGGAAAGAGAGUCAAACAGCACGUGAAAUUGUUGAAAGGGAAGCGCUUGCAGCCAGACUUGCCCGUUGUUGCUCAUCUAGGCUUUUGCCUGGAGCACUCGACGGCGGGCAGGCCAGCAUCAGUUUGGGCGGCCGGAUAAAGACCUCUGUCAAGUAUCUUCCUUCGGGAUGACCUUAUAGGGGAGGUGUAACACGGUCAGCCCGGACUGAGGUCCGCGCAUCUGCUAGGAUGCUGGCGUAAUGGCUGUAAGCGGCCCGUCUUGAAACACGGACCAAGGAGUCUAACAUCUAUGCGAGUGUUUGGGUGUCAAGCCCGGGCGCGCAAUGAAAGUGAACGGAGGUGGGAACCCUCUUUGGGGGUGCACCAUCGACCGAUCCUGAAGUUUUCGGAAGGAUUUGAGUAAGAGCAUAGCUGUUGGGACCCGAAAGAUGGUGAACUAUGCUUGAAUAGGGUGAAGCCAGAGGAAACUCUGGUGGAGGCUCGCAGCGGUUCUGACGUGCAAAUCGAUCGUCAAAUUUGGGCAUAGGGGCGAAAGACUAAUCGAACUAUCUAGUAGCUGGUUCCUGCCGAAGUUUCCCUCAGGAUAGCAGUAACGUAUUCAGUUUUAUGAGGUAAAGCGAAUGAUUAGAGGCCUGGGGGUUGAAACAACCUUCACCUAUUCUCAAACUUUAAAUAUGUAAGAAGUCCUUGUUACUUGAUUGAACGUGGACAUUUGAAUGUACCGUUACUAGUGGGCCCAUUUUUGGUAAGCAGAACUGGCGAUGCGGGAUGAACCGAACGCGGGGUUAAGGUGCCAGAAUGCACGCUCAUCAGACACCACAAAAGGUGUUAGUUCAUCUAGACAGCAGGACGGUGGCCAUGGAAGUCGGAAUCCGCUAAGGGAGUGUGUAACAACUCACCCUGCCGAAUGAACUAGCCCUGAAAAUGGA
rnacentral:rRNA from 1 species